GGAAUAUUGCACAAUGGAGGAAACUCUGAUGCAGCGACGCCGCGUGAGUGAAGAAGGUCUUCGGAUCGUAAAACUCUGUCCUUGGUGACGAAAAAAUGACGGUAGCCAAGGAGGAAGCCCCGGCUAACUACGUGCCAGCAGCCGCGGUAAUACGUAGGGGGCGAGCGUUGUCCGGAUUUACUGGGCGUAAAGGGUGAGUAGGCGGUAAUAUGUGUCAGAUGUAAAAGGCUAUGGCUUAACCAUAGUUAGCAUUUGAAACUGUAUUACUUGAGUGCAGGAGAGGUAAGUGGAAUUCCUAGUGUAGCGGUGAAAUGCGUAGAUAUUAGGAGGAACACCAGUGGCGAAGGCGACUUACUGGACUGUAACUGACGCUGAGUCACGAAAGCGUGGGUAGCAAACA
rnacentral:rRNA from 1 species